rnacentral:rRNA from 1 species
AUGGCGCCCAAGGCGGAGAAGAAGCCGGCGGCGAAGAAGCCCGUGGAGGAGGAGCCCGCGGCGGAGAAGGCUGAGAAGGCGCCCGCCGGGAAGAAGCCCAUGGCCGAGAAGCGUCUCCCCGCAGCGGGCAAGACCUCGGCCAAGGACGGCGACAAGAAGGCCAAGAAGAAGAGCAAGAAAAGCGUGGAGACGUACAAGAUCUACAUCUUCAAGGUGCUCAAGCAGGUGCACCCCGACAUCGGCAUCUCCUCCAAGGCCAUGUCCAUCAUGAACUCCUUCAUCAAUGACAUCUUCGAGAAGCUCGCCGGCGAGGCCGCCAAGCUCGCGCGCUACAACAAGAAGCCCACCAUCACCUCCCGCGAGAUCCAGACCUCCGUCCGCCUCGUCCUCCCCGGGGAGCUCGCCAAGCACGCCGUCUCCGAGGGCACCAAAGGCCGUCACCAAGUUCACCUCCUCUUAGGUUCGCCCGCCUCCCCUCCUGGUGACCGCUGUUGA